GAUGAACGCUGGCGGCGUGCCUAAUACAUGCAAGUCGAGCGAACAGACGAGGAGCUUGCUCCUCUGACGUUAGCGGCGGACGGGUGAGUAACACGUGGAUAACCUACCUAUAAGACUGGGAUAAAUUCGGGAAACCGGAGCUAAUACCGGAUAAUAUAUUGAACCGCAUGGUUCAAUAGUGAAAGACGGUUUUGCUGUCACUUAUAGAUGGAUCCGCGCCGCAUUAGCUAGUUGGUAAGGUAACGGCUUACCAAGGCGACGAUGCGUAGCCGACCUGAGAGGGUGAUCGGCCACACUGGAACGAAGACACGGUCCAGACGCCUACGGGAGGCAGCAGUAGGGAAUCUUCCGCGAUGGGCGAAAGCCUGACGGAGCAACGCCGCGGGAGUGAUGAAGGUCUUCGGAUCGUAAAACUCUGUUAUUAGGGAAGAACAAAUGUGUAAGUAACUAUGCACGUCUUGACGGUACCUAAUCAGAAAGCCAGGGCUAACUACGUG
rnacentral:rRNA from 1 species